GUCCUUGUAGUAUAACUCAAUACCCUGGUCUUGUAAAUCAGAAAUGGAAGUAUCUACUCCCUAGGACA
rnacentral:tRNA from 1 species